CCCACUCCCGGCACGGGGNNGUAGUGACGAAAAAUAACGAUACGGGACUCAUCCGAGGCCCCGUAAUCGGAAUGAGUACACUUUAAACCCUUUAACGAGUAUCCAUUGGAGGGCAAGUCUGGUGCCAGCAGCCGCGGUAAUUCCAGCUCCAAUAGCGUAUAUUAAAGUUGUUGCGGUUAAAAAGCUCGUAGUUGGACCUGUGUCCCACGCUGUCGGUUCACCGUUCGUCGGUGUUUAACUGGCAUGCCCGUGCGGACGUCCUGCCGGUGGAUGCGGUCGGCCGUGGGCUUCUGGUCCGCGCGUCGGCGGUCCGAUGCAAUCCUACCGCGGUGCUCUUCACCGAGUGUCGAGGUGGGCCGGCACGUUUACUUUGAACAAAUUAGAGUGCUCAAAGCAGGCAGUGGUUCGCCUGAAUAUUGUGUGCAUGGAAUAAUGGAAUAGGACCUCGGUUCUAUUUUGUUGGUUUCCGGAACUUGAGGUAAUGAUUAAUAGGGACAGACGGGGGCAUUCGUAUUGCGACGUUAGAGGUGAAAUUCUUGGAUCGUCGCAAGACGAACCUGAGCGAAAGCAUUUGCCAUGGAUGUUUUCCUUAAUCAAGAACGAAAGUUAGAGGUUCGAAGGCGAUCAGAUACCGCCCUAGUUCUAACCAUAAACGAUGCCAGCUAGCGAUCCGCCGAAGUUCCUCCGAUGACUCGGCGGGCAGCUUCCGGGAAACCAAAGCUUUUGGGUUCCGGGGGAAGUAUGGUUGCAAAGCUGAAACUUAAAGGAAUUGACGGAAGGGCACCACCAGGAGUGGAGCCUGCGGCUUAAUUUGACUCAACACGGGAAACCUCACCAGGCCCGGACACCGGAAGGAUUGACAGAUUGAGAGCUCUUUCUUGAUUCGGUGGGUGGUGGUGCAUGGCCGUUCUUAGUUGGUGGAGCGAUUUGUCUGGUAA
rnacentral:rRNA from 1 species